rnacentral:lncRNA from 1 species
UAUGUCUGUGUGUGUGGUGUGCAUGCUGUUCUUUAAAAAAGCUGUGGUAGGCCUCCUAAGAAAUUAUGGGGAUUUUUAUCCUCCUGCUUCUUCUUCCUUCAGCAAUCAGCAUGAGAUGGUGGUCUACAUGUCUUUGAAGUUUGUUGUAAGAUAUGUAUAUGUAUCUCAUAUAUGCAAAUAUAUGUAAAUAUUUUAAGAUUUCUAUGCAGUAAAAUGUACUGGUGUUUAUAUACAUAAAAUUAUGUAUAUUUUUACCUAUUUUCUUGCUUAGAUCAGGCUUUAAAAACUUUUCUUUCUUUGUAUUCUUUUCACCCUAUGUUCAGAUUCACUAUUUUCUUAAAUCCAGAAGCAAAACUGUGAGUUUUUUUUUCUCAUCCCAAUUUACAGCAUCUGGUACAAUGGAGGUUUCUUCUCCAGAAAAAUUGCACAAAAAUUCAGUGCUUUGCCAGAAUCUCUAGAGCGCCUGCUAAAUACUUAACAAAAGACUUGUUUUGACAAAGGAAUAUCACCCCUAAUCGUCAAAUUCAUUCCCCCCGCUCAAAAAAAAAAAAAAAAAAACAAAACAAAAAACAAAAAAAAACUGGGAAAAGAUGACUGGGUAAUAUUUUCAGCCAGCAGUCAGGCCUUUGAAAACUUAAUUGUGGGCAGUUAGAGCUAAAUGCUGCAUUUUUGUCUUAUCAGUCACCGUUUCAUGGAUUUCAUUAUUUUCCAGAGUUGCUAGCUUUCAGUACUUUAAACAUAAUUUUUGACAUGUGGGGAAGAUGGACGUGACAGCACAGUGUUUGGAAAGAAAACUGCUGAGCUGAUUUCCUCAUGGUGUGUGCUGAGUGCAUCCUUGAUGUGAAACAAUCACAAGUGCUUGCUGAAGUGGUGAUGUUCUUAUAUACCAGGAAUGCUGAAGCUCCAACAGUCACUGCUACCUACCGUCUCUUCAUCAUUUUGUACCACCUCCCCCUCUGCUAUUCUCGGAUUCAAAACAUCAAAGAACAAAUGGUGGAAUAA